UACGUAGGUGGCAAGCGUUGUCCGGAUUUACUGGGCGUAAAGAGCGCGCAGGCGGUCGUUCAAGUCGCGUGUGAAAGCCCCCGGCUCAACUGGGGAGGGUCACGCGAUACUGAUCGACUCGAAGGCAGGAGAGGGUAGUGGAAUUCCCGGUGUAGUGGUGAAAUGCGUAGAUAUCGGGAGGAAUACCGAUGGCGAAGGCAGGUCUCUGGGCUGACACUGACGCUCAUGCACGAAAGCGUGGGGAGCAAACAGG
rnacentral:rRNA from 1 species